AAUCAACGCUGGCGGCGUGCCUCAGACAUGCAAGUCGAACGAGAAAGUUCCCUUCGGGGAAUGAGUAAAGUGGCGCACGGGUGAGUAACACGUAGGUAAUCUACCUUCGGGUGGGGAAUAACCCAGGGAAACUUGGGCUAACACCGCAUAAUGCAGCGGCACCACAUGGUGACAGUUGUUAAAGCGGGGGAGUUUCGGUACC
rnacentral:rRNA from 1 species